UGCGGUCAGACGCAUCCAGUCAGCCCCGUUCUCCGAAGCUGUGAGCGGAGCAAUGACUGGUGUGACAUGAAGUCAGCAAGUGUAAACGCCGGAGUCAGUGUUGGCCAGUCGUCCGAUAGAACUUGUGAUACAAGUUGUGAUCCUGCAGUCCGCAGAUUGUGUAAUUACAACCAGAAGUGCUGACGUGAAGUGUUCAGUUAUGCUUAUUGACCUCUAAAAGCUGGGCUCAAACCCAAGUGGAUUACGAAGCUCCUGGAGGUCUUAGUCUGUUGGAGAGACUUGCUCCCACACCAGGAAGAACCUGAAAGGAGUUGGUCACAAUUCCCAGCUGCACUGCCAGUUUAUGUGCUGAGAUUCUGACCACAAGUGGAAUGAUCAGGCCAGGGAUUCAAAUCUCUCAAAUUUGAAAGACAUCUACAGGCUCGCAAGAAACUGAAUGAGUUGUUGGUUUCAGGGCAGCACUCAGAAUCCCUCACUAACCCUUCUCCCCAGCCAGAAUCAUGGCUGUGAAAGGAGGAAUGCAGAAAAUAGCUUCCUCAUUUCUCUUUUCUUCCCAUUCAAAAGGCAGCGUACUUGCUGGGUCAUCCAGUUCUGUACAUCACAAAGACUGAUGAGCCACUGAAAUUCUUACUGGCCCACAACAUUUCAAACACACUAGCAAUACAGAGGGCCAUAGCCAGGAAACCUGAGGAUAAUAAAUAGAAUUCCGUUCUUA